rnacentral:rRNA from 1 species
UGGGGAAUAUUGGACAAUGGGCGCAAGCCUGAUCCAGCAAUGCCGCGUGUGUGAAGAAGGCCUUCGGGUUGUAAAGCACUUUUAUCAGGAGCGAAAUACUAUCGGUUAAUAAACGGUGGGGCUGACGGUAUCUGAGGAAUAAGCACCGGCUAACUUCGUGCCAGCAGCCGCGGUAAUACGAAGGGUGCAAGCGUUAAUCGGAAUUACUGGGCGUAAAGGGUGCGUAGGCGGUUAGUUAAGUCUGUUGUGAAAUCCCCGAGCUCAACUUGGGAAUUGCAAUGGAUACUGGCAGGCUGGAGUAUGGUAGAGGAAGGUGGAAUUCCCGGUGUAGCAGUGAAAUGCGUAGAGAUCGGGAGGAACACCAGUGGCGAAGGCGGCCUUCUGGACCAAUACUGACGCUCAUGCACGAAAGCGUGGGGAGCAAAC